AUGUCCCUGGGCUGUGCUGCAGCUGCAAGCCCAGGAGUUGGAGUGCAGCUGGCAGUACCAGGGCGGCAAGCACCUACCAGCAGCCUGAGAACACCAGCAGGAACGGCCCAGGGACUGACCACCAAGGCUGGGAAGAUCCACACAGCUUGGAGAGAUGCUCAGGAGGGCAGCAGAGACACUCGUGCUGCCACUACACCAUCUUCCAGAGCAGCUCAGAAGGGCCUAGAAGAGCAGGCAGGCAGCAAAAGGCGAGGCAAGAAGUAUCUGCCUGCAUUAGUGCCUGAAGAUGCAGACAACUUAGAUUCUCUCAAGGUUGCACACUCUCCAGAGAAGGCUGAUGAUGCACCAUUCUUCCGAAGAGUGUGUGAAGGGGGAGAAAGAAACAUAACUGCCACCUCCAUGCCUGAAGUCUCCAGACAAGCUCUGGGAGCAGCACUGAGACUGCAAGAUCCCAGAGGGGUCAACCAGGAGGCCUAUGGAUGUUCUCUAGUACAUCGAGCAAUCCGGAGAAUUCGGGAUGAGGCAAGGAGGGAGCAGAUGUUGUCCACCUGGAACAUCUCCUGGCCAAACGUGAGCAUGCUCAGGCUGCUAAAACUUGAAGCAGCACAUGCCAGUGCCAGUGCUACUGACAGUGCUCAGGGUAUGCUGGACACCCGCGCCACAACAUCGAUGGUAGAGAGCCCCAUUCCUGUACCAGGAGAGUUCAUAUCCUGGGAUGCUGGAGUGCAGGAUGAACCGCAUGAUUCAGAAGAGAUUGCUGAGACAGAAACUGCGGGACAGUCAUCUGGUGACCUGCAGAGUGCAUGUCUUGCUCCAUCUGAUGAGGCAGAAACAGUGCGUUCAGCUUCUCUUCCGGAUGCAGGUCCUGGGCUUAGAGGACACCUUGAGCCAUUGCCCACAUCUGUGCUUGAAGAUGUAGAAAACUCAGAUUCUUUUGAGACUGCGCACUAUCCAGAGGUGGCCAGUGCAGCACCACUCCUCAUGUCAGCAUGUGAGGAAAGAGAAGAAACAGUGAUGGCUGUGCUGGAACUGUCCAAACAAGCUCUGGGGGAAACAUCAAAACUGCAAGAUGCCAGAGAGAUCUAUGAGGUGACCUAUGGAUAUUCUCCAAUUUUCCCAGCAAUUUUCCCAGAAACUGCAGGACAGUCAUCUGGUAACCUGCAGAGUGCAUGUGUUGCCCAGUCUGAUGAGGCAGAAACAGCACAUUCAGCUUCUCUUCUGGAUGCAGGUGCUGAGCCUGCAGGACAGCUUGAGCCAUUGCCUGCAUCAGAUCCUCAAGAUGUGGAAAACUCAGACUGUUUCACAGCAGCACACUCUCUGGAGGUGGCCAAUGAAGCACCCUUCUUCCUGCCACUGAGUGAGGGAGAAGAAAGAGAAGAACCAGCUAUGGCCAUGUCUGAGUCCUCCAGACAAGGUCUGGGAGAAACAUGGAGAUUGCAAGAUCCUAGAGAGAUCUACUGGAAGUCUUAUGGAUGUCCUCCAGUUCACCCAGCAAUCCUCAGAAUCCGUGAUGAGGCAAGGAGGGAGAAGAUGUUGUCCAGUAGGAACAUGUCUGAGCCAUACAGUCUGAGCAGCCCCAGGCUUCUCGUGCUCCAAGCAGCAGAUGACGGGGCCAGUGCUGCUGACACUGUUUGUGGCAUGCUGAACAUCUGCACCACAACAUCGAGGGCAGAUGGCCACUUUCCUGCCUCUUGUGAUUCCCAUAGUCGGCAUAUUAGAAUUAAGUAUGCACCGGGAGAGUCCACUGACAAUGCUGCCAGUGAUGCCAGCACCAAUCACAGCAUGCUGGAUGCCAGGGACACUGGAGUGAGGACUGACAGCAUGGCCACACCCUCCUUUUUUUCCUUUGAUUCUGUGGAGGGUGUGGAAGAGGAAUGGGAAGACAACCGUGAGGAAGAAGCUGCUGAAGCAGCUAGUGUGCCACCAAGCAUUUCUCAUUCCUCAUCUGGUGAGAUGAAGACAGCAGCGGCUCACCGCUGGAUGCCAGCUGUCAUCAGGAGUGUGUUCCGGGUUCUGCGCAGGGCUUCCAUUUGCAGCUGCAUCAGUGGACAGCAAGAGGAGACGUACGAGGCUGCAAACACCAGGCAGCUCCCCAGAGAUGUCUGA
ensembl:lncRNA